rnacentral:rRNA from 1 species
AAAAUCCGGGGACCUUAGAUGAGGGGUGAUAACGAGGAAGCUUGCUUCCGAAGUGAGUGAUACCCUGCUUCCAAGAAAAGCCACUAAGCUUCAGCUACACACGACCGUACCGCAAACCGACACUGGUGCGCGAGAUGAGUAUUCUAAGGCGCUUGAGAGAACUCUGGAGAAGGAACUCGGCAAAUUGACACCGUAACUUCGGAAGAAGGUGUGCCCCUAGUAGGUGAAGUCGUACAGACGGAGCCCAAUGGGGUCGCAGAGAAUAGGUGGCUGCGACUGUUUAUUAAAAACACAGCACUCUGCAAAGACGAAAGUCGACGUAUAGGGUGUGACGCCUGCCCGGUGCUGGAAGAUUAAAUGAUGGGGUGCAAGCUCUUGAUUGAAGUCCCAGUAAACGGCGGCCGUAACGAUAACGGUCCUAAGGUAGCGAAAUUCCUUGUCGGGUAAGUUCCGACCUGCACGAAUGGCGUAACGAUGGCCACGCUGUCUCCUCCAGAGACUCAGCGAAGUUGAAAUGUUUGUGAUGAUGCAAUCUCCCCGCGGAAAGACGGAAAGACCCCAUGAACCUUUACUGUAGCUUUACAUUGGACUUUGAACAGAUCUGUGUAGGAUAGGUGGGAGGCUUUGAAGCCUGGUCGCUAGAUCAGGUGGAGCCAACGUUGAAAUACCACCCUGGUGUGUUUGAGGUUCUAACCUUGGCCCGUGAUCCGGGUUGGGGACAGUGUAUGGUGGGCAGUUUGACUGGGGCGGUCUCCUCCCAAAGCGUAACGGAGGAGUUCGAAGGUACGCUAGGCACGGUCGGAAAUCGUGCUGAUAGUGCAUUGGCAUAAGCGUGCUUGACUGCGAGACUGACAAGUCGAGCAGGUACGAAAGUAGGACAAAGUGAUCCGGUGGUUCUGUAUGGAAGGGCCAUCGCUCAACGGAUAAAAGGUACUCUGGGGAUAACAGGCUGAUACCGCCCAAGAGUUCAUAUCGACGGCGGUGUUUGGCACCUCGAUGUCGGCUCAUCUCAUCCUGGGGCUGUAGCCGGUCCCAAGGGUAUGGCUGUUCGCCAUUUAAAGAGGUACGUGAGCUGGGUUUAAAACGUCGUGAGACAGUUUGGUCCCUAUCUUCCGUGGGCGCUGCAAGAUUGAGAGAGCCUGCUCCUAGUACGAGAGGACCGGAGUGGACGCACCUCUGGUGUAUCGGUUGUCACGCCAGUGGCAUCGCCGAGUAGCUAAGUGCGGAAGAGAUAACCGCUGAAAGCAUCUAAGCGGGAAACUCGUCUCAAGAUGAGUCUUGCCGGGGCCUCGAGCCCCCUGAAGAGUCGUUCGAGACCAGGACGUUGAUAGGUGGGGUGUGGAAGCGCAGUAAUGCGUUAAGCUAACCGAUACUAAUUGCUCGUGAGGCUUGACCCU